GACGAACGCUGGCGGCGUGCCUAAUACAUGCAAGUCGAGCGCAGGAAACUGACGGAACUCUUCGGAGGGAAGGCAGUGGAAUGAGCGGCGGACGGGUGAGUAACACGUAAGGAACCUGCCUCAAGGAUUGGGAUAACUCCGAGAAAUCGGAGCUAAUACCGGAUAGUUCAACGGACCGCACGGUCCGCUGAUGAAAGGCGCUUCGGCGUCACCUUGAGAUGGCCUUGCGGUGCAUUAGCUAGGUGGUGGGGUAACGGCCCACCAAGGCGACGAUGCAUAGCCGAACUGAGAGGGUGAUCGGCCACACUGGGACUGAGACACGGCCCAGACUCCUACGGGAGGCAGCAGUAGGGAAUCUUCCACAAUGGACGAAAGUCUGAUGGAGCAACGCCGCGUGAGUGAUGAAGGUUUUCGGAUCGUAAAACUCUGUUGUAAGGGAAGAACACGUACGAGAGGAAAUGCUCGUACCUUGACGGUACCUUACGAGAAAGCCACGGCUAACUACGUGCCAGCCGCCGCCGUAA
rnacentral:rRNA from 1 species